rnacentral:rRNA from 1 species
UUGUCCUGUGACUGCGUACCUUUUGUAUAAUGGGUCAGCGACUUAUAUUCAGUGGCAAGGUUAACCAUCUAGGGGAGCCGUAGGGAAACCGAGUCUUAACUGGGCGUUCAGUCUCUGGAUAUAGACCCGAAACCAGGUGAUCUAGCCAUGGGCAGGUUGAAGGUUGAGUAACAUCAACUGGAGGACCGAACCGACUAAUGUUGAAAAAUUAGCGGAUGACUUGUGGCUAGGGGUGAAAGGCCAAUCAAACCUGGAGAUAGCUGGUUCUCCCCGAAAGCUAUUUAGGUAGCGCCUCGGACGAAUACUACUGGGGGUAGAGCACUGUUAAGGCUAGGGGGUCAUCCCGACUUACCAACCCUUUGCAAACUCCGAAUACCAGUAAGUACUAUCCGGGAGACACACGGCGGGUGCUAACGUCCGUCGUGGAGAGGGAAACAACCCAGACCGCCAGCUAAGGUCCCAAAUUACUACUAAGUGGGAAACGAUGUGGGAAGGCUCAGACAGCCAGGAUGUUGGCUUAGAAGCAGCCAUCAUUUAAAGAAAGCGUAAUAGCUCACUGGUCGAGUCGGCCUGCGCGGAAGAUGUAACGGGGCUAAGUAGUAAACCGAAGCUGCGGCAAUGUGCUUUUGCACAUUGGGUAGGGGAGCGUUCUGUAAGCGGUUGAAGGUGUGUGGUAACGCAUGCUGGACGUAUCAGAAGUGCGAAUGCUGACAUGAGUAACGAUAAAGGGGGUGAAAAACCUCCUCGCCGGAAGACCAAGGGUUCCUGUCCAACGUUAAUCGGGGCAGGGUAAGUCGACCCCUAAGGCGAGGCCGAAAGGCGUAGUCGAUGGGAAACGGGUUAAUAUUCCCGUACUUCUUACAAUUGCGAUGGGGGGACGGAGAAGGCUAGGUGGGCCUGGCGACGGUUGUCCAGGUUCAAGUGCGUAGGCUU